CCCCUUCACUACUCAUCUUCUCAAAGGGCCACUUGCAGUGGGGAAAAGCAGCCUUUAUUAUAGCUGCUUUGCAUAAUAAGGCUGUCUCUCCCUUCUUUUGCCUCCUUGCCUCCCACCAGGAGGAAAUAUUGCAUCUGUCUCUCUUUGAGGGCAUUCAGGCUGGAUGGCCUUGUGAUAAAGCACAGAAGUUGGAGGCAUAUAAAUCUAACACAUAUCCAUUAAAAAUAAUCAUCUCAGACUAGGUUCAGGAUACGCUGCUCAGGUUCUCUGUUUUAUCUUAUUCCUGGAAACAAGAGCUGCUGCUAACAUUAAAAACACAGCUUCUUAUAAUAGUGUCUUAUCUCCUCCCUUAAUUGCCCAGACAAAGCUGGAGAGAAACUGGGUCACACAUUCACCGUGUUUAAGUUUACAUGGGAACCUGCUGGUUUUCUUUGUCAUAGGCUCCGAGGUAGCUAAGCAUGCUGCUAACCUCAUAUAUCAUGACAACGUCGCCCUGGGAAUCCCGGUGUCCUCAGAGGUCCUUGUCGUGGCUCACAGUGAGCCAGAGGAGCCCGUGAACGCACACAGAGAAAAGUGCAAAUCCAUCACCACGACUGAACUGGCAAUUUCAAUGUCAGGCCCUCCUGAUGGUGGGUCAAUGGCCCCGGCCUCCAGCGUGAGUGAUGGCUUAUUCGUUCAUUUGGCAGAGCUCUCCCCUGACCCUGAACAUUGAGGAUGAGUAAGCUCGUCUCCAGGUGAGACUCAGAAGGCCUGGAUGCUAAAAGCCUUACCAUCACCCACACAGUUCGUUGCACAACUUCCUGACUUCUACAACUCCAGUACCCUCCUCCUUUCCCUCCGGAGCUGCAGGGUUUUGCUUGUGCCACGGUGAGCUGGGACUAUUCUUCAGAGAAAGCAAUGGCACCCCACUCCAGUACUCUUGCCUGGAAAAUCCCAUGGACGGAGGAGCCUGGUGGGCUGCAGUCCAUGGGGUCGCUAAGAGUCAGACACGACUUCACCUUAGUUGCAGCGUGUGGACUUCUCACUGUGGUCGCGUCCCCUGUUGCAGAAUACAGACUCCAGGGUGCAGGUUCAAAGGUGCUGCACACGGGCUCAGUUGCCCCACAGCGUGUCAGACCAGGGAUCAAACUCGUGUCCCCUGCACUGGCAGGUGGAUUCUUAACCACUAGACCAUCAGGGAAGCCCUACUGUGGGCUCUUGACUACAUAGGGAGGAUUGUUUAUAAAAAUGCAGUGGGGGAGAAUCAAAGGAUGUGAUUAGAGGUUGGAAGUCCCAUUUUGAAAAGCUUCUGAAGAAGAGGUGAGUAAGAGCUGCAGGUUUAACUUAUGCAGAUUUCAAGUUAAAAAAUAACUAGCGUCUCUGUUGGGCACACGUGACAGUUUAAAGAAACCUGACUUGUGGGAAUG
ensembl:lncRNA